rnacentral:rRNA from 1 species
CAGUGCCACGGUAAUACGGAGGGUGCAAGCGUUAAUCGGAAUUACUGGGCGUAAAGCGCACGCAGGCGGUUUGUUAAGUCAGAUGUGAAAUCCCCGGGCUCAACCUGGGAACUGCAUCUGAUACUGGCAAGCUUGAGUCUCGUAGAGGGGGGUAGAAUUCCAGGUGUAGCGGUGAAAUGCGUAGAGAUCUGGAGGAAUACCGGUGGCGAAGGCGGCCCCCUGGACGAAGACUGACGCUCAGGUGCGAAAGCGUGGGGAGCAAACAGGAUUAGAUACCCCAGUAGUCCCUGUCUCUUAUACA